rnacentral:lncRNA from 1 species
AUGACGGGCACAUAUAGAAACAAUUAGAACACAAAAAUGGAUCGAGUUUUACUCUAGCACGAUCUUGGUCACCCGAAUCGCCACACGCCACCAUAUGUGUUUCUUUGUUUCACCGCGUGCUGUCGCCAAAGUAUUAUAUACCACCACUCGCUCAGCCGCCGGAACCAGCAUACGCCACCAGAACCACCCACGCGUCGCCUUGCUUUGAUCGAAAACCAUCACAGAACGAGCCGUACAUGCAAAUCCGGCUUAGAUAUGGCAAAAUUGCACUGGAGAAAGGUGCAGAUG